CCUUCACCCCCACCCCGCACCCCUUUCCCCAUCCCGGCUCCGUCACCCUCCCGCCCCCCACACUCAGGACAAGAAUGCCCUGCCCGGAACAACCCAGCAGCGCCUAGAUGGCUUUGGUCACGGUCCAGCGGUCACCUACCCCCAGCACCACCUCCAGCCCCUGCGCCUCGGAGGCAGACAGUGGGGAGGAAGAAUGCCGGUCACAGCCCAGGAGCAUCAGCGAGAGCUUUCUAACUGUCAAAGGUGCUGCCCUUUUUCUACCACGGGGAAAUGGCUCAUCCACACCAAGAAUCAGCCACAGACGGAACAAGCAUGCAGGCGAUCUCCAACAGCAUCUCCAAGCAAUGUUCAUAUUACUCCGCCCAGAAGACAACAUCAGGCUGGCUGUAAGACUGGAAAGUACUUACCAGAAUCGAACACGCUAUAUGGUAGUGGUUUCAACUAAUGGUAGACAAGACACUGAAGAAAGCAUCGUCCUAGGAAUGGAUUUCUCCUCUAAUGACAGUAGCACUUGUACCAUGGGCUUAGUUUUGCCUCUCUGGAGCGACACGCUAAUUCAUUUGGAUGGUGAUGGUGGGUUCAGUGUAUCGACGGAUAACAGAGUUCACAUAUUCAAACCUGUAUCUGUGCAGGCAAUGUGGUAAGAUGACUUUUACUAUCUCUACAAAAGUAUUUUAAUGUUAUUGGAGGAAUAUUUUGUAAGAAAUGUUUGAAAUGGUACAAUUUGCUAUGAAAAUGCUAAAUGAUCUGUUUGUAUAACCAUCGUAGUUAAAGAUGACCUAGAAAUGCAAUAUUCAAAUUGUUGCAAUUGGAAGGCCUUGAGUAUUGGUGAACAAGUGAAAUUCAGAGGAAUUCAGAGGUGUUAUUCUUAGGCUCUGGCAGAGACUUAACGGUUUAGAUAAGCCAGUUGAUACCGAGUUUUAUUAGGGACAUAUUGACUAAGUUAGUUAGUGGACUAAGAGCCAAAUCUAGAACAUCACGUUGCUAUGCAUUAGCUAUUUCUUUUUUUUUUUUUUUUUUUUUUUUUUUUUUGGGACGAAGCCUCACUCUGUUGCCCAGGCUGGAGUGCAGUGGCGCGAUCUCGGCUCACUGCAACCUCCGCCUCCCGGGUUCAGGCGAUUCUCCUGCGUCAGCCUCCUGAGUAGCUGGGACUACAGGCAUGUGCCACCACGCCUGGCUAAUUUUUUUGUAUUUUUUAGUAGAGACAGGGUUUCACCAUAUUGGCUGGGCUGGUCUUGAACUCCUGACCCCGCCUUGGCCUCCCAAAGUGCUGGGAUUACAGGUGUAGCCACUGCGCCUGGCCUGCAUUAGCUAUUUCCUAAGGUAACCAGGGAUAGCAUUCGUUACUUUAUGGAUAAAUAAAUUCCAUUUAAACUGCUGGUGGCUAUUUGCAUAAUGCAAAUAAAGCCUAGAGAAAACAUUAUACUUGCUAAUAACCAUCAGCUGGCAUAUGGACAUUUCAGGGCUAUUUACUACAUGCCAGAUGCUUUGCAUGGAUUAUAUUUAAUCAUCAUACCAAGCCCCCAAAAUAAUAUUAUUAGCCCCUUAUUAUGGGUGAGAAAACAUGCUUUGGAUGGGUUACAUAACUGCCCUGAGAGUAUUUCUUACAUUUAGACAGGAUAGAUCUCUCUCUCUCU
rnacentral:sRNA from 1 species